rnacentral:tRNA from 3 species
CCUUUAGCUCAGUUGGUUAGAGCAACCGGCUCAUAACCGGUUGGUCCGGGGUUCGAGUCCCUGAAGG